rnacentral:rRNA from 1 species
UACGGAGGAUGCGAGCGUUAUCCGGAUUUAUUGGGUUUAAAGGGUGCGCAGGCGGGAAAAUAAGUCAGCGGUGAAAUCUCUGGGCUCAACCCAGAACCUGCCGUUGAAACUGUUUUUCUUGAGUAUAGAUGAAGUAGGCGGAACUCGUUGUGUAGCGGUGAAAUGCAUAGAUAUAACGAAGAACACCAAUUGCGUAGGCAGCUUACUAAACUAUUACUGACGCUCAGGCACGAAAGCGUGGGUAUCAAACAGG